AAAGAAGGCCCAAAUAAAAUCCUUCCCCCAACAACAGAAAACCCUAACUCAAAAACCCAUUCCUGAAACUAACGCGUGUUGCCACCAAACCCAAAAACAAAGACCUGUGGUAUGCUCCGACGACGAUCUGCUCCAGUAGCUGCUCCGGUGGCGAUCUGCUCCAGUAGCUGCUCCGGUGGCGAUCUGCUCUAGUGACUAAUCUGGAGACGAUCUUCUCAGCGGCAUUAUCCGCCGACGAGAUUGUGUACUCUCUCAAGCGACGAUCUCCUCUAGCUGGUUCUCCUCCGGCGGCACUUUCGCCUCCUGCUACAAUCUCAACAAAGUUAAUCUUCUUUCUCUCUCUCAAUUUUCUACUGUUGUCAAAAAUACCUAAAAGCUUGAAAUGGAAAAUCAAGUUGCAGAAACUUCAUAAAACUACGAGAUCUGUUGCACAAGUGUUUCCUCAGACGAUCUUUUUCGGCGGCGAUCUCCUCCAUCAACGCUUCUCUUCCAUUGACGAGAUCUGUUGCGCAAGUAUUUCCUACAACGUCGAGUUGUGUUCUGCAAUUUUUCCAUCUCCAUCGAGCUUCAUUGAGCAUCUAGGUUUUUUAUUUUCUUUCUUGUUAGAAGAAAUUGGAGGUGAGGCAUUCACUAAAUUUUCUUCUAAUUUUGUUUGUAUGUAUGUUAGAUGAUUAAGGAUUAUGAUGAUAUCUUGUUUGAGCUCCUUCCUCUAUUCUAUUCUUCUUCCCUCUGUUCUAUUAUGAUGAUAUGAUGAUAUCUUGUAAAUUUGUAUAUUUGUUAGUUUUAAUAAUGUUGAUUUCUGACUUUUGUAAUUGAUCAAAUAUAUAGGUACUUCUAUUACUAAAUUAUUUUAUUUCAUUCUAUGUGAUUUUCCGCCGUAUCUCCCAAAACCUGCUAGUGCUGCGAGAACAAUUGAGCAUUAUAGAAAUUGAAGAUGUUCAUAUAAUGCAUGAUGCUGUGUAUAAUAAAUACACAAUGUUCAACUUUUUGAGCACUUGAAGAAAUACCUUAGUACCAGGCAUGAAUUAGAUGGAGAAUUUACACGAUCUCUCAUUCAUAGAAUAGAAGACAACUCAAAGGCAUCUAGUAGGGGAAUGAUUAAUAUAAUAAUAUCAAGAACUAGCAGACAAGAUAGCAGCAGCUGGAUUCUUGGUUGUAGUUCCUGAUCUCUUGUAUGGUGACUACUUUAGUUAUGAUCCUCAAUUUAAUAGAGAAGGAUGGUUGAAGAAACAUGGAGAGGUUAGUUGUAACUUUUACCAUUAGAACAUGUUUAUUAUGUAAAGCAAAAUCCAAAAUUUGAAUUUUCUGACCAUGCUUUUGACAUGUUUGUACUUUUAGGCUAAGGAAUUUGAAGACACCAAACCUAUUAUUUGCUUUUUAUUGGUUUGCUGCUGCUGCUGCUUGUUUUCUUGAUGUGCCCUGACACAUGAUAAAGUUAUCCAAGUCUUCCUAAAAAAAAGAUGCAAAAUUUAAAUUCUUAAAGCAUUUGUUCUACAUUUAUUGAAGUAAAUUAUUUAAAUUUUUUAAUUGCUAGCAACCUUUAACUUGUUAGCUAAACCCAAAAUUGAGUUCUAGAGUAAUUGACUACUAGCUAAGAAUGUGAAUGGAUGCUGAAAAUUAAAUUUUUGUGUGUAGAAAAAUGUGAUUAUUUUAGUGGGGACUGGGUCCCCAAUCCUUUUAGACAAUUUUAUACCAAUGAAACCUGUAGCGAUAUUAAAUCUCAUCAGAAUUGUUUGAAGAAUGGAAGGCCUGAUAGAGAAUUUCUGUAUUGGAGAUGGGAUCCAAGAGGCUAUGAGUUACCCCUGUUUGAUGCAGGAAAGUUUCUCAACAUGAUGCAUGGAAAAGUGUGGGCGUUGAUUGGCGAUUCCAUAUCCCGCAAUCAUGUGCAAUUGUUGAUAUGCAUUCUUUCAACGGUAUAUGUUUUAUUUUGCACUGGCAAAUAGCAUAUUAGCUUUUCACAUAUGGAUUUUGCUCUAACUAUCAAUCUAGGAUUGUCUUAUUUGCUUGGUUAAGAGAAUAAGAGUUUGUAUCCAUUCUUUUGGUGUCCAUUGGUUUUUACAAUAUUUAUGAUUUUCCUUGUUGUUUUCUUCAAUGAUUAAGGGCAUCAAUUAUAACCUACACUUUAGAAUUUUGUUAUUUUCCAUGAUCAGAAUCCUUAUCUUAGCAUCAUCUCGUUUAGAUUGUGGAAACUUCUGCAUGGUUUAUGCAAGCAUCAUAUAAAGGUUAUGCUAACUUUUGAGGAAAUUAAUGCGACCCCCACUUUUAACUGUUUAAGUAAGGUUUACUUAUGUUGAUAAUGCUGGUUUAUAUUUUAAUGGAAUUAUUGUUCUUUACAACUUUUUCUUAACAGAAAUUAAGUACUUCUAUCUAUAGUUUUGAUUAAAAGAAAAACGAAACAAACAACAAAUAAUAAUCAGAGUAUUCAAUCUUGUUUGGUUCAAGAGACUGGACUGGAAGGGUGAACAAUUUCUUAUUACAAACAUUUAGUAAUAAUGCCCUUAUUGCACUCUAUGUGUUUGUUAUUUUACUUCUUAGAAAUUGCUUCUGUUAGUUCUGUAUUUGGUUGUAGCUCCUGGUUUAAGGCUUGGAGUUUGUUCUUUAUUGCAUCUGAGUUUCAAGGAUUUCAUGAUUUAACUUGAAUUCUGCUUGUUUAAAACUGGAUAAGUUAUUGGUUGCUUGAAUUACACAGUAGCAGCAUUGGGAAUGUUGUUUUCUUUCUAUGUUUUGAUUAUUAAUUGCAGUUGAUGUUUCU